ACAAAUCCAAGUCAAAGUAUCUUCCAAGAAAAUAUAUUUUUUUCCCAAAAAAUUUUCAAAACAUCAAAGAUGCAAAAAGAUUCAACAAAGAUUUUUCUGACUUCUUGUAACUGAGAUUUCAAGGCAUAUCCAACAAUUCUCCACCUUGCCUUUAAAUCGAUGGUGAUCCGAUCAACCACCGUGCUGCUCUCUACAUCUUGAAUCUUCUAUUCAAGAUCACCGGAUUGUACCUCCCUCUUCAUCCUCGGAAUGCCUUCCGCUCUCAUGAAGAUCUUGCAUCCUACUACCAUAGGAUUUUAGGUAGCACCACAAGAUUCACCGCCCCCUCUUCAGACUCCGAAGUGGUCAACUUCGUACCUCCCUGAAGAAACGCUUGCUCCCAACUAUCAUCGGAAUUUUAGAUAGCUCAACAAGCUCCACCAUCCCUCUUCAGCCCNNN
rnacentral:lncRNA from 1 species